CGCGAAGAACCUUACCUGGUCUUGACAUCCAUAGAAUUUUUUAGAAAUAAGAAAGUGCCUUUUAGGAACUGUGAGACAGGUGCUGCAUGGCUGUCGUCAGCUCGUGUUGUGAAAUGUUGGGUUAAGUCCCGCAACGAGCGCAACCCUUGUCCUUUUUUGCCAGCGGUUCGGCCGGGAACUACAAGGAGACUGCCGGUUAUAAACCGGAGGAAGGUGGGGACGACGUCAAGUCAUCAUGGCCCUUACGACCAGGGCUACACACGUGCUACAAUGGUACAUACAAAGAGAAGCAAAUUCGCGAGGAUAAGCAAAUCUCAUAAAGUGUAUCUUAGUUCGGACUGGAGUCUGCAACUCGACUCCACGAAGUCGGAAUCGCUAGUAAUCGUGAAUCAGAAUGUCA
rnacentral:rRNA from 2 species